rnacentral:tRNA from 1 species
ACUAAGAUGACAGAAAAUAAAUGUGAUAGUUUUAAGAAUUAUAUAUGAAUAAUUAUUCUUUUAGUG